AAGAUUCGACCCUUGGGUCUAUCUCUCUUCAGCUGUGCGCUUUCGCUGCACGCUGUUGAACCUCACACACCUGUGCACUAUUCGGUUGCGGCCUCGGUCGCUUCCGCUUUUACACAUACAACCACAGUCCAGAAUGUAAAACACAAUAACUAAUAA
rnacentral:misc_RNA from 1 species